UCCAAAAAGUAAAAGUAGUACUAGAAGUUGUCAAGUUAGUGAUAGGACACAAUUUUCCAUGAUUCUGUUUUUUUCUGAGCACUUAUAUUUGGUCAAGGUGAAGUUACCGUCAGUUAUCAAUUGUCAGUUGAUUUUCUCAAAGGAGCACACACUCAUUUUCAGGACAAUGUCUGCUAAUUAACCAAAUCAAAUAGCCACAGAUUCUGUCAUUCAUUCCUUCAUGUGAAGAUGGUAUUGCCUACAAAAAAGAAAAAUAGUCUAAUUCAUCUCAUGCAAAUAUUUUUCUUGGCACAUGGUAGUUGGGGACGCAGCAGGAGUGUUGUGUGUGCACUUGCGUGUCAUCACAUCAGAUGUUGUAAAAUGUGGAUUUGAGGAUGAUAGAAUAAUGAAGAUAAUUUUUAAUGCUUCAACCAAGAAACUUUGAAAUGAAACCGGCUUGGAGUUGUGUUUCUGAGACAUGGUUGCAGUUCUAGGAGAGACCACUGGACUCCAUGUAUUGAAGCUCCUCAGAGACCCGAUGAGGAGGGAUCCAGAGGGUGCCCAGAUCUUACAGGAAUGUCCCCGGAUCUUACCGUCCACCCUCGACCUAGGCAAGAUCCAGAGCCGGCCUCAGAGCUCCCUGUUUCCUGUAUGAGAAUGUGAGUUUCCAGCUUCUGCACAUCUGGCGGUCACCAGGAAGUGCAGAGCGGAGUCUGGACUGCCACCGGGGACAGGAGUGCUUGUCAGCCUCUGUGCCAAGGCUUUGUCAUUUUCUCUGGGGCAGGCAGAUGGCCUGUGAGCAUCACUUCUAUGAAAUAUAUUGGCCAGCAUUUAUUCACCUCUAACUGCAUGCCAGAUGCCCCCAGCAAUGCUAUCAAGUCUGUUCUAUUCUUAUCCCCUUUCCAUGGAGGAGAAGGCAGGCUCCGCGCAGUUAAGCAACUUGCUGCCUUCACACAGCCAGUGUUCAUGGAGGCAAACCCACAUCAUGUUCUUAACUGUCGGUGCACUGUGUCCCCCUGUUUCGGGGGGACAGUGUUUCUCUCCCUUGGCGAUGGCAAAACUGGCACUCUCCAGCCCGAAGCAGGAAGGAUAGUGGCUGGGGUGGGGAACCCCAACUCCUGAGGAACUCCUUUUGUCGAGCACCUGCCCCGUGCUGGCUGUUGUUGCAGGUGCUGGGGAACUAGACAACCAGCCAGAUAGCUCCUGCCCUCGCGGUGCUCAUUCUGUAGUCGGGGAGGCAGACAGGAAAGCUGUAAAAUAAGAAAAUUCACAUAAGGAUUCAGGCGGAUACUAGCAGUAAUGAAAAUGUGCCAGAACGGUUGGUACGCAGGGAACGAAACCAGCGAAGAGCCUGCCCGUGUGGAGCGUCCAUCGAGCAGAUGGUGAGGCCGGCCAGCGUGAUUGGGACAAGGGCGGGGUGGGAGUUUGGCCUCCUCUCACAGGGGGGGUCAGGAGAGGCCCCACUGAGGAGAUGCAGGAGAAGAGAGGAGCCUGCCCUGAGGAGAGCAAGGAGGAACAUUCCCGCCAGUGCCAGGCUGUGCUUAAGGACAACAGGCCUCGAGGUGUGCUCUGGGGGAGGCAGGCAGUGGGCUGGAAGGUCAACCGGGCCAGGGCCUGCAGUCAUGGAAAGGGGUUUGGAUUUUGUCAGAAGAGCACUGGGAGACCCAGGAGGGAUCCAAGCAGGACAGUAAUGUGAUCUAAUUUAUUAAAUAAUUUGGGGUACAGAUGGACCCCUUUCCACUUCCCGCAUGUACACACCUGGCAGAGCACCUCUGGCAAGCGGCGGCCCAGCACAGCUGAAAGAGCCACCCAGGCUGGAGGAGGCGAAGGAUGUGUGGAGGUUGCUUUAGGAAAGGGUUUUUCAACUUUGACACUGAUGACAUUUGGGGCCAGAUGAUGCUCAAUUGUGGGAGCUGUUCUGUGCCCUGUAGGAUGUUGGGCAGCAUCCCUGGCCCCUACCUACCCAGCCUGGCCAGUAGGUUGAGGAGCACUCAGCCGCUAAGCUGUGGCCACCUCAGAUGUCCCCAGGCUUUGCAAAUGCUCCCUGGUGAACAAUUGAGAACCACCGUUCUAGAAGCUACUGUCCCUGAGACAGUCUGCCCCCCACGCUGUCCUGACGCCGGCUCCCGGCCCCUUUCACACCCUCUCCCUCAGACUUCAUGAGGACCGAGUUGUUUCAUCAAGUUGGGGUGAUCUGCCCCAAGUGCCACCCAGGGAGGGACAGGCUCCUCAAGUUCCCCUGAACCCUUUAUCCUGUGGCUGUGGAGGGGAAGGGAUGACCAGCGCCUCCCUGGCACCUUGCCCAGUCACAGGCCUUUUCGCGGUGACAGCCCUGAGAUGAUGCCACUUCUGGGGCCCGGAACCCAGCAGCCCACAGGAUGUGAAGGACACAUUUGUCCCAGCAGAGGUUCAUAUCGAGGCUCAAAGUGAGGGCACCCUCCCCAAGGCUGGCACGGCAGGGGUAGUCCCCCUGUGGCAUCAAGAUGACGGCAGGACUAGAGUUCAGAGCGGCCUGCCGCUCUUCCCUGCUUUAUGGCCCUGGGUGAAUCAUAACACCCCUCUGCACCCAGAUCCCUUAUCUGAGGGCAGGGGACCUAAGGGUUAUCUUCCGCAGCGUUUCUGGGGUUUGGCAAUAAUGGACGUCAGGCCACUGGCUUGGGAAUGCAGCGGACUUUGUUUCAAAUGCUGACUCGGUUAUCUGAUCGGCAGUGGCUCUGGGACGAGCUGCUCCCUCUCUCUGAGCCGCGAUUUUCUUAUCUGUAUCAGAGGCUCCUGGCAGGAUCCCACCAGAAGAUCAUGAGGAUCCCCCCAGAGGUCAACGAGAACAUAGGCAAGGGAUGUCGUGGGGUGCCGGCACCAGGAGGGACUCAGUUAACACACUGCCAACCCUCUGAUCCCCUUGGGGUUUGUGCAGCAUGUGGGGCGCUCUGAUGAAAGCUGGCCUGGGGCCCGGUGAGGCUGCAGACCCGAGCUCAGCCCCCGACCUUGAGGACACCCCAUCCCUCUACCUCUAGCAGACUAUGGCUGUACUUUGGGGACAGGAAGACCAGGCUAUACCCACCCAGGCGCAACUGGGGACUCAGAGAGGCAGUGGGUGGGACUGGCCUUAGCCCCCCUGCGUUCAGGGGUCACUCACCAGACCCUGCUGGGGAAGCCAGGCCAGGCCUGCAACCUGCAGGACAACCUGGUGUGCACAAGCUCACACCACCUGUUUGCGGGGAGCCAGGCCCUAGCCAGGCCCUAGCCAGGCCCUAGCCAGGCACCAGCAGUGCAUGCUGGCAGUGGUGUGUUCACACCAGCCCCACUCAGGACCAUGCAGAGGAGGUGCCUUGAGAGCAUCUGUGCAGUGAAACCAUCUGUGCUCAGCUCCUCGUGGGCUGAGGCAGUUUCCUGCCCCACAAGCCCUGGAGGAGGAUACAGUGGAGGACAGACACAGGGCAACUUGUAGACCCAUUUUUUAAUGUUUUAAAAACAAACUUAUUGAGAUAUAACUUUUGGCCAUUUUGUCAUUUGUUGAAGGCUCACCUGUCAUGUCCUUUUGGUAAGUGCAGAGCAGAGCAAUCAUCCCAUACUCUACCUUGAGAACAUCCCAUCACCACAACAACCUUGUUUCCUGGGUCUGGGCCCAUGGGCACCACCCCCACCUUCCCCUCCCCAGCCCUGGGCAGGCAUAGCCCACUCUCUGCCUCUGGGGACGGGCCAGGGAACUUCUCUCUAAGCACAUCCUAGGCGACUCCGCUGACACAGACCUGCAGUGGACAUUUGAGGUACCCUAACCCAAUGCAGGAGGCCCUGCAGCCUGGGGUGUGUGAGGAGAGAAGGGCUGCAGUAGCUGCCUCAGAGGGGGCCAAGGGCAGAGCCAGGGAGAUUCCUUCCUCAGCAGGAAGGGGACAUGGGAUCUGGGUCUUGAAAGCCACAGGAACAGAUGUGGCUCAGGGAGCUGAUGAAAGGCCGAUUACAUGACCUCAGCAGUGACUUUCUCUGUGUGACCUCGGGGGUCCCUCCCCAGCACUCUGUGAACUGGGAAGUGAUACUGUCCUGACACCCCUCCCCCACACCCUCUCAGAAACAAGGACAUGGAGACUGAGGGGUUAUGGCAGUGCCCAGGUCAGAACCCCAGCCACCUGGCUAAUGUCUGGGCCUCUGGACCGACACCAUCCUCCAAACUGACCAGGGGACCAAGGAGGCAGUGACCCUGGAGCCCUCACCACCCUCUCCAGAUACCACACAUUUCUUGCCUGGAUUUGACUGAAGACAAAAGCGCAGUAGUAAGUCAUCCUGUCAUCACCCUUUAUGGAAAUGAAUUGAACUCACCAAAGAGAAAGACACAGAGUGACUGGUUGUACCAAAAACAAAACCCAACUUGAUGCUGCCUGCAGGAGACAGGAUCUAAACAGCCCCACUGUGGGAGACAGGAAUAGGCCAGGAUGCUUCAGGAGCUGCCCAGUGUGGACAGUUCACACCCCCACUGCUGAGGAAGCCAAGACAGGGGGAGGAUCCUGCAGGCUUGAUUGUAUUUUUUUUUUUAUAUUCUUCUUUUUUAUUUUUUAACUUCACUUUUCACUUAUAAACACUAUUUGCUUCCUCCCACCCCCUCAGGUACAGUCCCCUAGAGUUUCCUUCUGCAAGGCACCCGUGCACCAUCACCUCAGUCCCCUGUGCUCCUCCCUCCUUCCCUCUGGUCCUUCUUCUACCUCCUCCCCUGCAGGGUGUCUCUGAUUAAGGCCUCUGACUUAGGAUCCCGCACACUUCUUUGAGGACUCUGAGGCAAGAAGAGUGCUGCUGGAGGAACCAGACAAUGACCAGGAUGCUGCACCCCAUGAGGAUGGCGCUGAGCUCACCCCACCCUCGCUGGGAGAGCAAGGCCAUGCCCCAGAGAAUGCAGCCUGUGCAGGCGAUCCUGAGCUCACACCAGACCUGCUGGAGCAUCAGCCCUGGCCAGCUUCCUGCAGGUUAAAGUGAGGGAGCUAAAGGAACAGCAGUUCUGCCUACGGAAGCAGGCCCUGCAGGGAUUCAUAGCACAAGCCGAGGGUGCUCACCUGACACCAACCCUCCAGGGACCCAGCCCCUCACCAUGUACUGCCUGUCCUCAUCAGGGACAACUGACCAUUCAGCACUGCUCCACCCCCAACUUCUCCUCCUCCACCUCCCUAGCCACAUGUCUUUCUUUAACUUCUACAAGGCCUCUACCCACAGACACCUGGCCCUUCUCUUGUAGUUCCAAAUCUUGGUCUCCUAAUUCAAGUUAUUUUCAUGUAUUUCCUCCAAGAUUUCUUGUUCACUGUACAAAUGCUAAUACACUUGUUCUCUCUUCACCCAAGUUGUCUACUCCUUUGAUGUCCAUUCCCUUCACAGGGCUGGCCUCCUCCUCACUGUGGCCUUGCAGACGACCAACUCCUCAGUGGGAGCCAUUUAGCCAAACCACUACUGCCCAGCCCUCUCAGGCCAUGAUGCCCUCACCUGCCUGCCACCUCUGUUCCCAUUGCUGCCUGGGGAUCCCAAGGAAGGAACCUAAUAAAUGGUGACUCUGGGAUCAUCCCAACCACACAUUAGAGGUAGCAUACAUGGUGUCUGUCUAUUUGGGUUGGCUGGACUUCCGUGGUGGCCUAGGGGUAAAGUCUCAGCACUGCCAUGGCUGAAUCCUGAGUCGAGCCCAGGCCAGGGAGCAAACCCAUCUA